GAUGAACGCUGGCGGCGUGCCUAAUACAUGCAAGUCGAGCGAACAGACGAGGUUCUUGCUCCUCUGACGUUAGCGACGGACGGGUGAGUAACACGUGGAUAACCUACCUAUAAGACUGGGGUAACUUCGGGAAACCGGAGCUAAUACCGGAUAAUAUAUUGAACCGCAUGGUUCAAUAGUGAAAGACGGUUUUGCUGUCACUUAUAGAUCGAUCCGCGCCGCAUUAGCUAGUUGGUAAGGUAACGGCUUACCAAGGCAACGAUGCGUAGCCGACCUGGGAGGGUGAUCGGCCACACUGGAACUGAGACACGAUCCAGACUCCUACGGGAGGCAGCAGUAGGGAAUCUCCCGCAAUGGGCGAAAGCCUGACGGAGCAACGCGGCGUGAGUGAUGAAGGUCUUCGGGUCUUAAAACUCUGUUAUUAGGGAAGAAGAAAUGUGUAAGUAACUAUGCACGUCUUGACGGUACCUGAUCAGAAAGCCACGGCUAACUCCGUG
rnacentral:rRNA from 1 species